GGGUUGUGAGGUUAAGCGACUAAGCGUACACGGUGGAUGCCCUGGCAGUCAGAGGCGAUGAAGGACGUGCUAAUCUGCGAAAAGCGCCGGCGAGGUGAUAUGAACCUUUGACCCGGCGAUGUCCGAAUGGGGAAACCCAGUGCAAUUCGUUGCACUAUCGUUAACUGAAUACAUAGGUUAACGAGGCGAACCGGGGGAACUGAAACAUCUAAGUACCCCGAGGAAAAGAAAUCAACCGAGAUUCCCCCAGUAGCGGCGAGCGAACGGGGAGCAGCCCAGAGUCUGAAUCAGCUUGUGUGUUAGUGGAAGCGUCUGGAAAGUCGCACGGUACAGGGUGACAGUCCCGUACACGAAAGCACACAGGCUGUGAACUCGAAGAGUAGGGCGGGACACGUGGUAUCCUGUCUGAAUAUGGGGGGACCAUCCUCCAAGGCUAAAUACUCCUGACUGACCGAUAGUGAACCAGUACCGUGAGGGAAAGGCGAAAAGAACCCCGGCGAGGGGAGUGAAAAAGAACCUGAAACCGUGUACGUACAAGCAGUGGGAGCACCUUCGUGGUGUGACUGCGUACCUUUUGUAUAAUGGGUCAGCGACUUAUAUUCUGUAGCAAGGUUAACCGUAUAGGGGAGCCGAAGGGAAACCGAGUCUUAACUGGGCGUUAAGUUGCAGGGUAUAGACCCGAAACCCGGUGAUCUAGCCAUGGGCAGGUUGAAGGUUGGGUAACACUAACUGGAGGACCGAACCGACUAAUGUUGAAAAAUUAGCGGAUGACUUGUGGCUGGGGGUGAAAGGCCAAUCAAACCGGGAGAUAGCUGGUUCUCCCCGAAAGCUAUUUAGGUAGCGCCUCGUGAACUCAUCUUCGGGGGUAGAGCACUGUUUCGGCUAGGGGGCCAUCCCGGCUUACCAACCCGAUGCAAACUACGAAUACCGAAGAAUGUUAUCACGGGAGACACACGGCGGGUGCUAACGUCCGUCGUGAAGAGGGAAACAACCCAGACCGCCAGCUAAGGUCCCAAAGUCAUGGUUAAGUGGGAAACGAUGUGGGAAGGCACAGACAGCCAGGAUGUUGGCUUAGAAGCAGCCAUCAUUUAAAGAAAGCGUAAUAGCUCACUGGUCGAGUCGGCCUGCGCGGAAGAUGUAACGGGGCUAAACCAUGCACCGAAGCUGCGGCAGCGACGCGUAUGCGUUGUUGGGUAGGGGAGCGUUCUGUAAGCCGUUGAAGGUGGCCUGUGAGGGUUGCUGGAGGUAUCAGAAGUGCGAAUGCUGACAUAAGUAACGAUAAAGCGGGUGAAAAGCCCGCUCGCCGGAAGACCAAGGGUUCCUGUCCAACGUUAAUCGGGGCAGGGUGAGUCGACCCCUAAGGCGAGGCCGAAAGGCGUAGUCGAUGGGAAACAGGUUAAUAUUCCUGUACUUGGUGUUACUGCGAAGGGGGGACGGAGAAGGCUAUGUUAGCCGGGCGACGGUUGUCCCGGUUUAAGCAUGUAGGCGGAACGAUUAGGUAAAUCCGGUCGUUUUUUAACGCUGAGGUGUGAUGACGAGGCACUACGGUGCUGAAGUAACAAAUGCCCUGCUUCCAGGAAAAGCCUCUAAGCAUCAGGUAACAUCAAAUCGUACCCCAAACCGACACAGGUGGUCAGGUAGAGAAUACCAAGGCGCUUGAGAGAACUCGGGUGAAGGAACUAGGCAAAAUGGUGCCGUAACUUCGGGAGAAGGCACGCUGAUAUGUAGGUGAAGCCCCUGCGGGUGGAGCUGAAAUCAGUCGAAGAUACCAGCUGGCUGCAACUGUUUAUUAAAAACACAGCACUGUGCAAACACGAAAGUGGACGUAUACGGUGUGACGCCUGCCCGGUGCCGGAAGGUUAAUUGAUGGGGUUAGCGGUAACGCGAAGCUCUUGAUCGAAGCCCCGGUAAACGGCGGCCGUAACUAUAACGGUCCUAAGGUAGCGAAAUUCCUUGUCGGGUAAGUUCCGACCUGCACGAAUGGCGUAAUGAUGGCCAGGCUGUCUCCACCCGAGACUCAGUGAAAUUGAACUCGCUGUGAAGAUGCAGUGUACCCGCGGCAAGACGGAAAGACCCCGUGAACCUUUACUAUAGCUUGACACUGAACACUGGUCCUUGAUGUGUAGGAUAGGUGGGAGGCUUUGAAGCGUGGACGCCAGUCUGCGUGGAGCCAUCCUUGAAAUACCACCCUUUAAUGGCUGGUGUUCUAACGUAGACCCGUAAUCCGGGUUGCGGACAGUGUCUGGUGGGUAGUUUGACUGGGGCGGUCUCCUCCCAAAGAGUAACGGAGGAGCACGAAGGUUAGCUAAUCCUGGUCGGACAUCAGGAGGUUAGUGCAAUGGCAUAAGCUAGCUUGACUGCGAGAGUGACGGCUCGAGCAGGUGCGAAAGCAGGUCAUAGUGAUCCGGUGGUUCUGAAUGGAAGGGCCAUCGCUCAACGGAUAAAAGGUACUCCGGGGAUAACAGGCUGAUACCGCCCAAGAGUUCAUAUCGACGGCGGUGUUUGGCACCUCGAUGUCGGCUCAUCACAUCCUGGGGCUGAAGUAGGUCCCAAGGGUAUGGCUGUUCGCCAUUUAAAGUGGUACGCGAGCUGGGUUUAGAACGUCGUGAGACAGUUCGGUCCCUAUCUGCCGUGGGCGCUGGAGAAUUGAGGGGGGCUGCUCCUAGUACGAGAGGACCGGAGUGGACGCAUCACUGGUGUUCGGGUUGUCAUGCCAAUGGCACUGCCCGGUAGCUAAAUGCGGAAAAGAUAAGUGCUGAAAGCAUCUAAGCACGAAACUUGCCCC
rnacentral:rRNA from 1 species